AUGGAAAAUCUGACCAACUAGCUGCAACCUGACUCAUCUUUAAGGCAUCAACGGUCAGACUGACCCUCCCUGGGAAAUGAAAUCAAAGCCAAUCUCAUCAACAGAGCACAUACUCGGCUGAUUGGGCAAGGUGGUGCUAACUUGAAUAGUGUAAUUGCCCAUUCAAACUGCUAUUUUAAGACCAAACUGAAGAUCAGCUGGUAACAUCAGCAGUGGACUGACCAUGCAAGAGUUAAUCCUACUAAUGACUAAAGACCCACACGGUAGCAUCAGCAGUGGACUGAAGGUGUGAGUGUUAAUCCUACUAAUGAAACAAACCUCUUUACCCCAGCAUGAGAAGGCCAUGCUAGAUGAAACCAAUCUCUUCUUUCUCACUCUCUGCGACAAAAGAUGGAUGUACCAGCAGACAAAACAGCAGCUCACUUGUCAAUUUAUGGACUCCAGCUGAAAAAGUCAAGGAAAGUGGGAACCUUGACUGCUGUGUUGCCACAAGAGGAACAGGAGCCAAAGCUCAGCAUGGUGUGAGAAGGUUGCCCUCAGGCAAGCGUGAGACUGGCCUUGGUAAUUGGCACCGGUGAAUGAGAGGGUCCUGGCACGACUCUGAAAACCAGAGGGAGGAUCCCACAGUAGUCUCAUUUUGUUUCUCUCCCCUGGGCACUGGAAAAGUCUUGCUGUAUGCACUUCGCUCAGCUUCAGGCAGAGGUGUUAAUAGAGCCUCUUGUGGAUCAGCGUCUCUCCAGUCUACACUAUCAUUAGCCCUGGGGUGGGCCAGAGGGAAAGAGAGGGACUGUGGCACAUCUCUUGUCAUUUACCCUGUUUUUUUUUGUUGUUUUUUUAUCUCUCUCUCUCACUCGUGUGUUCUCUGUUUAUGAGUCAUUAUUCCCCAUCCACAGACACAUAGCUGGAGUGACAGUUGCUGUAUGGGCAUGUACAGCAUAUGUUCAAUAAAAUAUUUUCACCCAACAUAUCAUUCUUCAAUUGGUGUUCACUCAAGCCAUCUGCUUUCUCUUACUUCUCACUUUCCUGUUUUAUCUGCAUCCUACUAUUGAAUUCAUUCCACUCUUCCAUUAUUCAUAUUUGAAAUGCCUUUGGUAGACUUUACUUUGUUAUUCCUACUGGCAUGUUUAUUAAUGGGAUAUUAUGGGAUGAAUUUAGACCAUGUGUAGAAAAUUUAUGGAAGAAUUACAACAUUUUUAAUGUAUACUCAGGAAUAAUGUUGACAAGACGUUGUGUAGAUUUCAGUCUUUUACUAUUUAAGAGCAGUGAUUUUUCCUUU